AAAGUGGCAGAAUGAGGGAAUAUUGAAGAGGACUAGAGAACAGCAAAGACAUGAACCAUUACCCCAAAAUGAGAAAGGAGGACGGAGAAAAAUACCAUUACAAAUAAAAAAUAGAUUGUGUGGCAUAUUCUU
rfam:Ailuropoda melanoleuca scaffold3116_28, whole genome shotgun sequence.